UUCUUCUUACUGGUUUCCAGUUUCUCGUUGCUUUGAACACGGACAAUCGAUAACAGUUUUUUGUAUAUAAUAAUAUUCUAAGUCAACAAAUUCUUUAAAUAGAGAUAGUGAAUUUCUUAAAACAAAAGCGUAUAUGGAACAUAGGGUACAAUUCCAGCCAUAAAGUAUGUAGGCUAUCUUGGGGUUUAUAAGCAAAUAAUCCAAGAUGUAAUGCAUAUGUGGAGUACACGCCCCACUUUGCCAAAUGCUAGCUUAUACCUUGGUUGAUAGAGUUAUCCGAUACGUGUGCUGUGCUGCUGGGAGUAGUAGAUACUUGGUUGAAUAGUCAAGGUACGGGCAAGCUUGCGCGAACACCACAAUCAUAAAAAGAAAGACUAGACCUUAGGCCCCUGAGGUUGCCUCUGGCUGUUUAGAGGUUGUCUCACCCCGAAGCGAGUCCAAAUGUUCUAUUUUCAAACAUUGCCUACAACCUAUAGAACUUGAUAAAGGCUUAGCUACAAGAAAUAUGCAUAAGAAGCAAAAGGUCCAUAUAGCAAUACCUAGAUGGGGUGAACCUGUAGAUUGCCAUAUUAACCUUUUGAAUUUUGUCAGUUCUUUCGCUUUAGCCUAGUUUUUUUUGUAUCAAAACUGACUCUUUCCCUCUCUCGUGUACUUCUUGCAUCUUUUUGAUGCCUUUUUCUAUUUAACUCAUUAUUUCAUCCAACAAAAAACUAGUUGGAACUUGGGGUUGAACCUUACAUGUUUUGUUACAGUUACAUUAGCUUCGGUGUAUGCCAAGAAUGUUUUUACUCUGUUGGACAAGGGCUGAUCUAUGUUGUGUAGUUGGGGUGGUACACCACCCCGUUGCUCCGGUAGAAUUUCAUGUAUCCACAGGUAUUUUACUAGUAUUUCACGUAAAAAGAUAGAUAAAUAAAUAAUGGCACCCCAAGUAAUAAAAUGGCUAUAGGUGCCAUGGUCAAGGUAUCCCAUGCCCAAUACCCAAGUUACCCUCGUAUUACUCAUAUUGUAAAACCGAUUUUACUUUACUGUGUUACCUCUUUCCACUUUAACUUUCUUUCUUCUGUUUUUCUUAAUUUCUUUUAUCUUCAUUUUUGAAUAUUUUCUCUAUGUACAAUUUCAUUUUUAUCAGUUAUUUAGAUCAAAAAAGUAUAUGUCCUUACGUUCUUUUGUUCUGGAUCUCAAUUCGUUUUUAAAAAAAAUGCUUUUAAUCAUUUUUCUUUUUUAUUUAUUUAGUAUUAUUUUUUGAAAUGAUCAAAUAUAUUCACUUUGGUUAUCAUGUGUAUCGAACCGAACUAAAUUAAUUUAAAAUAGAGCGAACCGACUACAUGCAUGUAUACCCAAAUUCAACCUCCUUGACUAUUGGUUACUGUACAUUAAAUGCAGUGGCACCCGCAACUAUCAACUCCUGGAUCCGCCUCUGCUGUCGGAGACUUGUGCGUCAGUGUAGAUAAAUGUGAUGUUUAAAGAAUAUCUAGUUUUAGAGAAACUCUAAGUUGACUUAAAUGUCAAAUUAUAUAGUAUUGGAAUAAAAUGAGCCUGAAUAGAGCAGAAAUAUAACCGGUUCAAAUUCAAACUAGUUUGGUCUUAAAGCUAAGUUGAUUGAGCAAGUUAAUUAUGGCAAUAUUGGUUUUUUUAUGGAAAUUAAGUUGGGUGGGGUAAUUCUUGUCAAGAAAUCUGGCUAAUUCUGAAGCGUAAACCAGGAUUUCUGAGAAGUAGCUCAUUAUAGAAAGAAGUGUAUAGACACCCUGGAGGAUCUAAUGGGUUGUGUAAGCAACAAUGUUGAUGGAAACGUGAGAAGCAGGAGGAAAAGGAAGAGGUCGAAAAUGCACAAAAAUGUUGCAGAAGGAAAUAUUUAGUGUACAUGGCAUCCACCAGGAAAUCUUUUGCUCCUGACUUGCUUUUCAAUAUCAAGUAAAUGGUAAUCUAUAAAGGUAGGAGUCCGCUGCGUCACAAUGAGAGCAUAUUUUCGAGGGCACCAUUUUUUUUGAGAGCACAAGAGUUUUGAUUCUUUCUUUGGACUGUUGUUUCCUCAACUAAAUCCAUUUCUUUUGUUGUCCUGUGCUAGGAUCUUUAUGAGUAAGUUUUGCAGUAUUAUUGCAUCUUUUGAACAGGAAAGUUACUAGGAGGAUAAACCUAAUACUAGUAUUAUGAGCAUAGUUUUCAAUCCUUUCGGUCGAGAAUGAAACUUGAAAUUUUCUUGGGAAGAGGAGACUGAUUAUUGGGAGGACAAGUUAUCUUUCAACUUGGAGCAGCAAUAAAGGUGACUUUUAAUAUCGACUAUGACCUUUCUUACAUCACAUUUGAAGAAUCCAAUAUUUGUAAUAUGUGAACCGAGUUUUCUUUUAAUCAGAACAUUUUCAUCAGUUAUAUGCUUGAUUGAUUUUAUAUCAUACGGAAUUUUUAAGAAUUAUAUAACUUUUGCUGGAGGAGUUUUGAUUAACGG
rnacentral:lncRNA from 1 species